rnacentral:rRNA from 1 species
UACAUGGGGUGCAAACGUUGCUCGGAAUUAUUGGGCGUAAAGGGCUCGUAGGCGGUUUGUCGCGUCGGGAGUGAAAACCUCGGGCUUAACUCGGGGCUUGCUUUCGAUACGGGCAGACUGGAGGUAUGCAGGGGAGAACGGAAUUCCUGGUGUAGCGGUGAAAUGCGCAGAUAUCAGGAGGAACACCGGUGGCGAAGGCGGUUCUCUGGGCAUGACCUGACGCUGAGGAGCGAAAGUGUGGGGAGCGAACAGG